rnacentral:SRP_RNA from 1 species
GCUGUAAUCUCUGCUACUGGGGGAGGCUGAGGCUGGUGGAUCACUUGAGCUUGGGAGUACUAAACAUCAGUAGUACUAAAGUUAAUUGGAUAUCUUCACUAAGUUUCACACCAAUGGGUGAACACCCAGGAGUGGGCAGCCACCAGGAAGCCUAAGGAGGGACAAAUCAGCCCAGGUCAGAAAUAAAGCAGGCCAAAGCUUCUAUGCCAAUAAGCAAUGGGAUCAGGCACACAAGAAUGCACUGCAUAUCUAGCCUUGGAAAGAUAGGAAGGCUCAGUCUCAA